rnacentral:rRNA from 1 species
GACGAACGCUGGCGGCGUGCCUAAUACAUGCAAGUAGAACGCUGAAGGAGGAGCUUGCUUCUCUGGAUGAGUUGCGAACGGGUGAGUAACGCGUAGGUAACCUGCCUGGUAGCGGGGGAUAACUAUUGGAAACGAUAGCUAAUACCGCAUAAUAGUAGAUGUUGCAUGACAUUUGCUUAAAAGGUGCAAUUGCAUCACUACCAGAUGGACCUGCGUUGUAUUAGCUAGUUGGUGAGGUAACGGCUCACCAAGGCGACGAUACAUAGCCGACCUGAGAGGGUGAUCGGCCACACUGGGACUGAGACACGGCCCAGACUCCUACGGGAGGCAGCAGUAGGGAAUCUUCGGCAAUGGACGGAAGUCUGACCGAGCAACGCCGCGUGAGUGAAGAAGGGUUUCGGAUCGUAAGGCUCUGUUGUAAGAGAAGAACGAGUGUGAGAGUGGAAAGUUCACACUGUGACGGUAGCUUAACAGAAAGGGACGGCUAACUACGUG